rnacentral:rRNA from 1 species
GGUUAAUAGGUUCGAGGUGGAAGCAUGGUGACAUGUGGUGCUGACGAAUACUAAUCGAUCGAAGACUUAAUCAA